CCCGGGACAGCACAAUCUCACAUGCCCAUGAUCAGCUACAAUGUUCCACCUCUCCUUAUCACAUUCAUGUGGAACUGACCCACAGCCUCAGCCCUCAAUGACACCCAGAUUCCUGUCCAGGGAUGUGGGCCCUAUGCCACCGACCAAGUCCCAAGAGAAGCUCGCCACCUCCUUCCACACCUUGUAGAGAGACAGGGCAGUGCAGUCCGGUCCCUCACUUCCUCAUCCGUGAAAUGAGAUGAAGAGAAGCCACAGCCUUCUCCUGGAGGAGACAGAUGCAGAGGAAAUGCCUGCUGAUGCCCAGAGAGGUUGGAUAACAUUGCCUAAGCCACACAGAGGACUGAAGAGAGAGGCUGGAGCAGGAAGACUGGGUGCAGAAGCAUUCGGACACAUAAAUUAGGUCAGCCGCCGGGGGCGAGGAGCCCAGAGCCCUGCUAAUCAUGCUGCAAAGGCUAGAACAAAAUCAAGUGUAAUUAAUUCUGCCCCAGCUUCCUUCCCCCAAGUCGCCAGAUUAGGGCUCCACUGUCCUGGUGACCAGAGACAAUGUGACCUGGGCUGAGAGCCCACCAUUAGGCUCGGAAAGUCUCGGUGAGUUCAAGUCAAGCUCUAUCUAUUUGCUGGGUAUCUCUGGGCAAGCUAUAUAACCUCUCUGAGCCUAUAUUUGGCUAAAU
rnacentral:lncRNA from 1 species